UACGAAGGGGGCUAGCGUUGCUCGGAAUCACUGGGCGUAAAGGGUGCGUAGGCGGGUCUUUAAGUCAGGGGUGAAAUCCUGGAGCUCAACUCCAGAACUGCCUUUGAUACUGAGGAUCUUGAGUUCGGGAGAGGUGAGUGGAACUGCGAGUGUAGAGGUGAAAUUCGUAGAUAUUGGGAAGAACACCGGUGGGCGAAGGCGGCGCUCUGGACCGAGACUGAGCGCAUGAGG
rnacentral:rRNA from 1 species